GAUCCUGGCUCAGGAUGAACGCUAGCUACAGGCUUAACACAUGCAAGUCGAGGGGCAGCAUUAUCAAAGCUUGCUUUGAUGGAUGGCGACCGGCGCACGGGUGAGUAACACGUAUCCAACCUGCCGACAACACUGGGAUAGCCUUUCGAAAGAAAGAUUAAUACCGGAUGGUAUAGUUUUCCCGCAUGGGGUGACUAUUAAAGAAUUUCGGUUGUCGAUGGGGAUGCGUUCCAUUAGGCAGUUGGG
rnacentral:rRNA from 1 species